GUGGGGAAAAGCCCACAGAAGCAAAAGUGGAAGAGAGAUCUUGUUAAGCCUUAGCAAAGAUGAGAAGAAAACAGAAGGAAAAGCCAGGAAACGUCUUGGCAUUGCCAGAAGGAUCUUUCAAUCAAGAACAGAUGGGCGCAGUUCAGAUUGCUGAUUGUCGUACUUCUCAAAAUACGCCGUGCAAGAUCUAUGCAAAAUGAGCUUGUUGGAGUUGCAUUGUUGAAGAGUUCUUGUGUUGUAUUUUGGUCAUGGAUGGACAGAACUCUCUCCUACAACACCCUAUGAAGCAGGGGUGGUAUUUACUUACCUUCGCUACUGGUUCGCAAAUCUUCUCAAGCAACCUUCCUGCCACAGUUUACUUUGGAUUCCGAUCUCUUUAUCCAGCCCCAACUAUAAAGAACAAUUCAAAUCUCAGCUUAAUUGGAAAGACCACUGCGGACAGGAAAGGAGGU